rnacentral:tRNA from 1 species
UCUUGCAAAGUAAAAUAAUACAUUUAGUUUCGACCUAAAAAAUUGGUUAUAUUAAUAACCUGCAAGAC